rnacentral:misc_RNA from 1 species
GAUUAUUGUCAUAAAGCUUGUGGAAAUUGUGCAUAUAACUGAGACUACCUUAGGAGGAAUGAAAGGAACUUUGGUUAAAUUAGCAACAGCUGUUCCCUAGCAACGGCUGUUCCCUGGCAACAGACCUGUUUAAUCAGACCCUCUCCUGAGUCCUGUAGUUGGAAACUUUUGAAAGAUAGUUCAAGUUCUACCCCAAUGUAUAAAUCAAGUCUUUUCUGUCUUUCUACCUUACUCCAUACACAGAGUCAGUACUACUUUAUCUUAAUCACAGCAGCUGGUCACUUCUAGACUCUGUACCGUUUUGGCCUUUACUUCAGUCUAAUAGUCAAAUUUCUUUAUAAUUUAUGGAGAAGAACAAAAUAUCCCAGAAGAACCAAGCAUCUCCCCCUCCUUCCCUCCCUUCUUGGUUGAGAAUGCACCUACCUCCCCCCUAAAAGAAACUAAAGAAAAAUCUUAAUAGUUAAGAACAAAAAAAUAAAAAAGCGAUUUUAGCUCCUUCAUUGUCAUAUAGCAGUGAUUUCUUUCCCAUUUCCUCACAAAACCAAAAUCUUGCAACUUCAAAUAUAUAUAUAGUCAUAUUUUUUGUUUUUCACUUGACCAAUCUUUCCUGCACAAAACCCAAGCUACCAUUUACAA